rnacentral:lncRNA from 1 species
GAUAGUAUAGCACGCAGAGCAGCAAUGGGAUGUCUGAGCACAAGUGGCUGACUUCCAGGCGACUUCAAGAAGCACAUUUGCACAUUUAUCCUGAAUUAAACUGGAAUUCUGCACCCUUGACAUCCUCCUACUCUCCUGGUGUCUGCGGAAGGAAACAGCGACCUGCACAGCACAACAAAACUACAAAUCAUCAGUGAUCUACAGACAAGCAAACGAAGUGAGCUGAGGGCAAUUUAACUACCGCCUUCUGUGUCAGUUCCCCAGAAGUCAAUGAGGCAUACUAUCGGGUCUCCAAGGUACAUCCCAGAGAUUAUUUAGUCAUGCUGUACAAUUAGGAAAUGAUUAGAAC